GAUUAAAUAAAAAAUACUUCAGAGUGUACCUGCAAAGGUUCACUGCGAAGUUUUGCUCUUUAAAAAUCUGGAUCAAGCUGAAAAUUGAAACACUGAACAACGANNNNNNNNNNNNNNNNNNNNNCACACUAUCAUUAACUGAAUCCAUAGGUUAAUGAGGCGAACCGGGGGAACUGAAACAUCUAAGUACCCCGAGGAAAAGAAAUCAACCGAGAUUCCCCCAGUAGCGGCGAGCGAACGGGGAGGAGCCCAGAGCCUGAAUCAGUGUGUGUGUUAGUGGAAGCGUCUGGAAAGGCGCGCGAUACAGGGUGACAGCCCCGUACACAAAAAUGCACAUGCUGUGAGCUCGAUGAGUAGGGCGGGACACGUGGUAUCCUGUCUGAAUAUGGGGGGACCAUCCUCCAAGGCUAAAUACUCCUGACUGACCGAUAGUGAACCAGUACCGUGAGGGAAAGGCGAAAAGAACCCCGGCGAGGGGAGUGAAAAAGAACCUGAAACCGUGUACGUACAAGCAGUGGGAGCCUCUUAAUGGGGUGACUGCGUACCUUUUGUAUAAUGGGUCAGCGACUUAUAUUCUGUAGCAAGGUUAACCGAAUAGGGGAGCCGAAGGGAAACCGAGUCUUAACUGGGCGUUAAGUUGCAGGGUAUAGACCCGAAACCCGGUGAUCUAGCCAUGGGCAGGUUGAAGGUUGGGUAACACUAACUGGAGGACCGAACCGACUAAUGUUGAAAAAUUAGCGGAUGACUUGUGGCUGGGGGUGAAAGGCCAAUCAAACCGGGAGAUAGCUGGUUCUCCCCGAAAGCUAUUUAGGUAGCGCCUCGUGAAUUCAUCUCCGGGGGUAGAGCACUGUUUCGGCAAGGGGGUCAUCCCGACUUACCAACCCGAUGCAAACUGCGAAUACCGGAGAAUGUUAUCACGGGAGACACACGGCGGGUGCUAACGUCCGUCGUGAAGAGGGAAACAACCCAGACCGCCAGCUAAGGUCCCAAAGUCAUGGUUAAGUGGGAAACGAUGUGGGAAGGCCCAGACAGCCAGGAUGUUGGCUUAGAAGCAGCCAUCAUUUAAAGAAAGCGUAAUAGCUCACUGGUCGAGUCGGCCUGCGCGGAAGAUGUAACGGGGCUAAACCAUGCACCGAAGCUGCGGCAGCGACACUAUGUGUUGUUGGGUAGGGGAGCGUUCUGUAAGCCUGUGAAGGUGGCCUGUGAGGGUUGCUGGAGGUAUCAGAAGUGCGAAUGCUGACAUAAGUAACGAUAAAGCGGGUGAAAAGCCCGCUCGCCGGAAGACCAAGGGUUCCUGUCCAACGUUAAUCGGGGCAGGGUGAGUCGACCCCUAAGGCGAGGCCGAAAGGCGUAGUCGAUGGGAAACAGGUUAAUAUUCCUGUACUUGGUGUUACUGCGAAGGGGGGACGGAGAAGGCUAUGUUGGCCGGGCGACGGUUGUCCCGGUUUAAGCGUGUAGGCUGGUUUUCCAGGCAAAUCCGGAAAACCAAGGCUGAGGCGUGAUGACGAGGCACUACGGUGCUGAAGUGACAAAUGCCCUGCUUCCAGGAAAAGCCUCUAAGCAUCAGGUAACAUCAAAUCGUACCCCAAACCGACACAGGUGGUCAGGUAGAGAAUACCAAGGCGCUUGAGAGAACUCGGGUGAAGGAACUAGGCAAAAUGGUGCCGUAACUUCGGGAGAAGGCACGCUGAUAUGUAGGUGAAGCGACUUGCUCGUGGAGCUGAAAUCAGUCGAAGAUACCAGCUGGCUGCAACUGUUUAUUAAAAACACAGCACUGUGCAAACACGAAAGUGGACGUAUACGGUGUGACGCCUGCCCGGUGCCGGAAGGUUAAUUGAUGGGGUUAGCGGUAACGCGAAGCUCUUGAUCGAAGCCCCGGUAAACGGCGGCCGUAACUAUAACGGUCCUAAGGUAGCGAAAUUCCUUGUCGGGUAAGUUCCGACCUGCACGAAUGGCGUAAUGAUGGCCAGGCUGUCUCCACCCGAGACUCAGUGAAAUUGAACUCGCUGUGAAGAUGCAGUGUACCCGCGGCAAGACGGAAAGACCCCGUGAACCUUUACUAUAGCUUGACACUGAACAUUGAGCCUUGAUGUGUAGGAUAGGUGGGAGGCUUUGAAGUGUGGACGCCAGUCUGCAUGGAGCCGACCUUGAAAUACCACCCUUUAAUGUUUGAUGUUCUAACGUUGGCCCCUAAUCGGGGUUGCGGACAGUGUCUGGUGGGUAGUUUGACUGGGGCGGUCUCCUCCUAAAGAGUAACGGAGGAGCACGAAGGUUGGCUAAUCCUGGUCGGACAUCAGGAGGUUAGUGCAAUGGCAUAAGCCAGCUUGACUGCGAGCGUGACGGCGCGAGCAGGUGCGAAAGCAGGUCAUAGUGAUCCGGUGGUUCUGAAUGGAAGGGCCAUCGCUCAACGGAUAAAAGGUACUCCGGGGAUAACAGGCUGAUACCGCCCAAGAGUUCAUAUCGACGGCGGUGUUUGGCACCUCGAUGUCGGCUCAUCACAUCCUGGGGCUGAAGUAGGUCCCAAGGGUAUGGCUGUUCGCCAUUUAAAGUGGUACGCGAGCUGGGUUUAGAACGUCGUGAGACAGUUCGGUCCCUAUCUGCCGUGGGCGCUGGAGAACUGAGGGGGGCUGCUCCUAGUACGAGAGGACCGGAGUGGACGCAUCACUGGUGUUCGGGUUGUCAUGCCAAUGGCACUGCCCGGUAGCUAAAUGCGGAAGAGAUAAGUGCUGAAAGCAUCUAAGCACGAAACUUGCCCCGAGAUGAGUUCUCCCUGAGACUUAGAGUCUCCUGAAGGAACGUUGAAGACGACGACGUUGAUAGGCCGGGUGUGUAAGCGCAGCGAUGCGUUGAGCUAACCGGUACUAAUGAACCGUGAGGCUUAACCUU
rnacentral:rRNA from 1 species